rnacentral:lncRNA from 1 species
GGUAAGAGUGGCGAUGUGCAUCUAAUUGACAAAAUCACCAAUUAUUGACCAAUAGAAUGAGAUGAAGAAGAAACAUCAUUUGUAAAGCAGUUUUUAUCACCAAAGCAGUGUUUCAGUAAUUUAGAAUUUCAUUCAUUUAAAAGUACUCAAAUUUGCAAUAACUAACUGAAUUUGGAGUUUGAUACAGAUUGGUUCGUAGUUCACAUGUAAGUUUAGUUAGUACUACAUUUUGCUUCGAUUUUAAGUAACUUUGAAAAUUAAAUGAUAUUCUGAAUUUCUUGCAAGAUUAAAUAUUUUGUUAAAGAUUAUUUGACGCGAAAUUACAAUGGCGUAAUCAUUUGUUUUGCAUUUUCAAUAGGUUAUCAGUGGUGGGUAUUUUUCUGCGAUAAUUAUUUCGAAACUACAAAAUGGGUCGUUGUUCCCGGAAUUGGAAAAACUCAUGCAAAAGUCAAAUCAUCAUAGAAUCGUCUGAGGUUUUUCUUCUGAGCGAUCUUAGGAGUUGCUCUGAGGCUAGGAAAUUGUUACAUUUGAUUUUUAGUCAUAAGUUGGCAUUACAUCAAGAUCAUGCUGAAUAUGAUUGAAAUACAAUGUAUAUGUAUAUUCUCUAAAAAUGAGGGUACUUUUUAUAUGGCCUUCCAAAUACCGUUUCGAUCCCUAACAUCACUGAAGAGACAUUUAUUGUCGAAAUCCGGAUCUGGUGUACUAAAUAAAUAUUGACACCGUAUAUUUGUGGCAUAACAUCGUGGCGCCGGGUCUGGAACCUGUACUUUAUUUUCUAACUUUUACGACAACACCGCCUAGCAUUGCACAGAGACCUUAUCCCCUCUUCUAACUCUAGCUUAUAAAACAUACGCUUUCGUUUCGGGAGGUGUUACCUUCUUGUAGGAAUUAAACAAGGAUCUCUGAUACAAUACACGAAGUAUUUAUUUUUAGUGUACAGAAAUGAUCAUCUACUCAUCUCUUCAGUAUAAUUGCAGGAUGCUAAUCUAUUUUUAGAAGCAUACAAUAACUGUAAAUAAAUAUAGACAAUAUUUAGACAAUAUUUUAUUGGCACAAACGCAUUUACAAUAAAUGGUAAUGACCGAAUGGAUAAACAAUUUGCUAUACAUGGUGGUAAAAUACAAACAAUUAUAUAUAUAUGUCAAUAAACGAUUAAAGGUAUAAUGAAAAUCUAUUACAAUAGAUUACUUCUUGCAUUAAAACAAUUUGUUACGAAAGAGGAAGAUAAUUUUAGUGCCUUAUAGGAUGUAUUAUUAAGUAUGAGAUUUAUUAUAUUUUUAUCACACAAUGUGGUUACACUUUUUCCUGUAAUAUUAAACAUUUUUAAUACAAAAGACUCUCUAAUACUGGAGUAACCGCUACAGUGUAGCAACAUGUGCUGUUCAUUUUCAAUUUCGCCACUUUUACAGAUUUCAUAUGUAUAUGUCUGCCUGUGUGUAGUGACAACUGCAAAUUAUACAUUGUCCAUCGUAUUUCUUAUGAUAAAGAAAUACCAGGCCUUAGAAUAUGUAUAAAGUGCCUAGAAAAUCAACCUAACGAUGUUAGAGUAGAUUUGAUUCGUAACUUUCUCCCCGUCGCCGGGUCUGGAACCUGUACUUUAUUUUCUAACUUCUACGACAACACCGCCUAGCAUUGCGCAGAGACCUUAUCCCCUCCUCUAACUCUAGCUUAUAAAAAAUAAGCUUUCGUUUCGGGAGGUGUUACCUUCUUGUAGGAAUUAAACAAGGAUCUCUGAUACAAUACACGACGUAUUUAUUUUUAGUGUACAGAAAAGAUCAUCCUGCAUCCUGCAAUUAUACUGAAGAGAUGAGUAGAUGUUGAGAUACUGUUACUAGGAUCUAUUUAUAGAUUAUCGUCAUUUCUAUUUUAAAUUUAUUCGGAUUUUCUGUAAACUAUGUAUUCAUGGUAUUUUGAUGUGUACAAGGAAGAAAAUUUCAAGUUAUACUAGGAUAACUGACUUAUUAAUGAAUGAACAUGUUCUAAAAAAUGUAAACGGUUAUAAUACGUAUUCGUGUUUAUUUUUUGAUAUUAUAAUGAAAGUACUUCAGUUUAUUAUGUAUGUCAGCAACAUAAAUCGUUUUGAUUUUUCUACGCUUUACACUACUAUUCCCCAUGCUCAGUUGAAAAUCGACUUCACCAUCUCAUUUAAAAGAGCUUUUCUAUGAAAAUGGGUAUUGUAAUUAGAAAUUUCUUGUUUUUGGUUACAAUAAUUCAUAUUUUGUUAAGAGCCACACUGAAUCUACCAGAAAUAUACUUUAGAUGUAUAGAGACACACACAUGUUAAAUUGUAUCUCUAAAAAGUUCGCACCUUAAUAUCCUACUAUCUGUCGAUACAUUUAUUUUUGGCAUUUCACAAGUCAUGUCUUCUCUGACUGUUCAUGACGUAAAAAUACUAAAUCCCUGGGAUGUGUUUUAGUUGAUUUUAGCCUCUGAUGCAUGAUUUUUAAUUAUUAAUUGUUUUGGGUUUUUUAACUAGCUGUCAGUAACUGCGAGUACUCUCAAAUCGUACUUUCUUGUUAAUUUGGCCUAUUUGCCAAUGUAAUGUUGGUUUUUUUUUGUUUUUUUUUAUAUUAAUAUUGAUCUUGUCUAUAUACCAGCUUUUUGAUUAUUUUGAAUAUCUACUAAUUUUCACUUUUUCGUACUAUGAACAUCAAAAUUAUUCUCCUUAAAUCUGUACGGGAAGUUUUAUCUAGCUCUAAUUGUAUAUCUAAUCCCAGAUCAUUCACUAUUACUUUGUGAUCUAAUUAUCGGAUGCAAAUAUGACUCUAAUACGACAAAUUACGAUAUUAACUCGGAUGAUCAAAACAAGAAAUUUAAAGUGACAAAUCUACCAAACGAUUUUAUGAAUAGAGAUGAAAUAGAUACCAAGUCAAUGAAGUUAUCAUGAAUAUUGAAAAUUCAAUUCGAAUUACUGAAAAUGUUCAAACUGCGUAUGAAUUGUAAAAUAAGUAAUAGUAAUUGAACGGAAAACAUGCGUGCCAUGGGCAGUCGUUGAUGAAAAUGGAAACGUGAAAACGGACAAAGAAAGCGUUCUGAACAAAUUGAAAAACAAUUUUCAUACAUUAUUUCCAAGUGAAUCUACAGAAAACCAACGAGCAAAUGACACUUUUGAUUCAAACGACAAGGUACGAUAAGGCCUGUUUUUGGCCCCUCUUUUUUCCCAUUUUUUAAAUUCUGUUUUGGUAAUCUACUUAUUAUGUUCAAAUAUUCCCUGAAGUUUGAAGUUUGUUUGGGUGAAUUUUAAAACCACAAAGUAGAACUGUAUAUGAUAUUUGGAGUUGGAUAUCACGUCGACGGAAAGGCUGGAAUACGGAAGUGAACAAGAUGGUGAACUAAUUGGAAAUUAGGAACUUUGUUAGUGAUGUAUCAUUAACUACAAAAGUAGCCAUGAAAAAAGUCACUGAACAAGUUAACAUCUAAAAUAUUAGAAUGGCAGAGAGAAUUAUUUAACGAUCGCGGAAAAGAAAAUGGAAAUAAACUUAUAACAUACAGGCAAUACAAAAGCAACUGUUCUGUGGAACCGUAUGUGUGAAAAACUUUUCCACGGUCGUACCGCCGUGUAAUGGCCCUGUUUUGUGCAGGCUUGCUCCCGUUAGCCAUCGAGACUGGAAGAUACACCAAGCCGCUAAUACCUGUUGAAGACAGUUUAUGUGUUUAUUGCUCUGACAAUAGUGUUAAAACUGAGAAACAUUUUUUAUUGAACUGUUAUAUAAUGACUUAAGAUUUGACCUUUAAUCAGAAUGUUCACAAAAUAUUAAUAGUUUUUGGAAAUUUGAAUGACAAUUUAAAAUUUAUACAAAUCAUGAAUUGGCUCCGAGAUUCAGCCAUUUUUAUGUAAAAGUAUUCAGAAGGGGUUUUUUUGCGACGUAAAUUAUUUACAUAUUUUUUAACUAUUUUUCAUGCGACAUAAAUCAUGUAAAUUGUUUACUUAAAUUUUUAACCGUGAAAAAUUAUUUUAUUUCAUUCUGUUUAUUUAAAUUAUGCAUAUCAGUUGUUUUUUCCCCGAAGUGGAAAUUGUUAAAAUGUAAGCUUUUAAUUAUUUAUUGGAAAGAAGAAAGCUUCUGCUACAUAAAUAUGGGCUGUUUUUGACAAUACAUUUACAUAUAUCGAGAACUAGCAUCAUGCUAAAUUACUGAAAUAUUCACAAUUUUAGCAUUUUAGUUAAAUUUUAGACGGUUUCCGUCUUCAACGAAAGUGGCCGCAUUUGGGUUCAUUCUUAAAAUUCAAAUGUAAGUUGUAUUUGAUGAUAACGCAUGACAUAUAUAAAGGUUGAGGGUUUUGACAAAAAAACAUCUAAAAAGUGACAUUUUGGGCAUAUUUGAUAGAUUUUUCAUAUUUUAGCUUGAGUCGGAGCACUUUUGAUGACUAAUUCAGUUGAAAUCUUUCACAUCAACUAAUUGAAACCACUGAAAUAGACACUUUAGUGUUUAAAAAAUGUCUAAAAUCUUUUGUCAUAUGAACCUCAAAUUUGAGGCCAAAAUCAGCCCUUACUGGACCUACCCCCUUAUUCGUUCAUAGUGAGUUAAUUUACGUUUUUUGAUUGAGUUAAGCCUUCCAAUUGAUAUUUUAUCGUGUGUUUUUCUAUUUUGUGAUGUUAUACUAUUGUUUCAGAAAAAGGGAGAAUUUUUGGUACCAUUAAAACGUUUAAUUCCGCUGCAAAUGUUUGCACCUGUCCUAAGUCAGGAAUCUGAUGUACAGUAGUUGUCGUUUGUUUAUGUAAUUAAUACGUGUUUCUCGUUUCUUGUUUUUUUAUUUAGAUUAGAUGGUUGGUUUUCCCGUUUGAAUGGUUUAACACUAGUAAUUUUGGGGACCUUUACAGCUUGUUGUUCGGUGUGGGCCAAUGCUCCGUGUUGAAGGCCGUACCUUGACCUAUAAUGGUUUACUUUUAAAAAAAUAGUUUUUUUGGAUGGUGAGUUGUCUCAUUGGCACUCAUACCACAUUUUCCUAUAUCUUUUAUGAUGAUAUUAUCAAAAUACUGGACUUUUUGAUCGACAAUAUAUUUCAGAUAGUCUGUACUCCAAUGGCUACUUAUUGUGCAGCACCCCUACUGACCGAUUUGUUUUUGUAUUCGUAUGAAGCAGAAUUCAUUCAAAAUCUUCUGACAGACAAAAAGAAAAAACACCUUGCGAAAUUCUUUUAUUUUACUUUUAGAUAUAUUGAUAGUGUCCUAACAUUGCAUUACCCAUAUUUCAACCAAUACUUACAUCUCAUAUAUCUCAGUGAACUUUAAAUUCAGGAUACUUCUGAUACUAAAAGGACUGCAUCAUACCUUGAAAUUUUCCUCAAUAUUCACACAAAUGAACGACUUCACACGAAAAUCUAUGAUAAAUGGGACAUUUUCAAAUUCCAAAUUAUCAAUUUCCCAUUUCUCAGCAGUAACAUAACCUCUGCCCUUUCGUAUGGUGUUUACAUAUAUCAGUUGAUACGUUAUGCUCGUGCAUAUUCACACUAUACAGACUUCUUAUACAGGAGUUUGCUCCUAACGCAGAAAAUGCUCCAAUGCUUAAAAAUGACACUCCGUAUUUCAUGGACACCAUCACGGAUUGUAUGAUCCAUACGAUGUGUGGUUGUCCAAACUAACUAAAGACAUUUUAACACAUGUUAAAUUGCGGUUUGCCAUUACGUCGUCUAAUCUUGUAAGUACCGAACGUGACUUAUUCCCAAUUGUGUCUGUUUUACUGAUUGUGAAUUCGAAUUGCUGUAAGACGUGUCACGGUAUUUUUUUUAUCCAAAAUUCAUGUAUUUAUGUCACCCUGACGGAGGUCGGGUGACAUAUUGUUAUUGAACGAUUCUUUUUUUUAUUUUUAUUAUUAUUCCACACAUUUUUGUCCAUACUAUUUCUUGGAAUCGUAUGGACCAAUUGUAAUGGAACUAUACCAGAAUGUUAAUGACCAUUGUCAGAAGUGCAGUCGAGGUUGGCACUUCCAGGAUGUCUACUGUUACCAUGGAAACAGAAAAAGAGUGAAAAAAUGAAGUUUUAGUUUUUGGUAAAUAAUUUAACUAUAACAAAACAUUUACUCAUCAUAUUUUUAUACACUGUAGCUGUCCUCUAUAUACAUGCUGUGGAUGAUUUUGAGAUUCAUUGGAACUACCAUGUUGCCAUAGGAACUGAUCAAAAAUAUCAAAAAUUUGAAAAUUCUUUAAAAAUAUAUAAAACUUUUACACAAAUGUUGCCUGGCAAAUCUAGAUGUUGCAUUCAACUUUGGAAUUUCCAAAAUGGCUGCAGUUACCAUGGAAACAAGGCAAAAACAUCAAAAUGAGAAAAUGUGAUGGAACAUUCCAGAACAUUAAUGUUGUACAGCUAUUAAAUGUUAUAUGAUUGUAAAAUAUUAUGGGGAAUACAAUAUGAAGCAGAAGUAUGACUUUGGAAUUUUCAAAAUGGCCGCCGUUGCCAUAGAAACAGUAAAAACAUCAAAAUUUUACAAAUGCUUUAAACUUUCUAAAAAUUUGCAAACUGAUGCAUUGUAAAGUAAAUUAGUUAAUUUAAUGUUAACAUUUCGAAAUGGCUGCCGCUUAGUGGCAAUUGGUGGACCAGGGUGACAUCCGCUAUUGCUUGCAAUGGCAAUUCUAGUUAGUUUUGAUGUAAUAUUUGUUAUUCUCAUCGGAUUUUAUCAAAUAUCUUAUCGUUUGUAGUUUUAAAUCUUUUCGUUUUUUCCUUGUUCUAUUAAUCACCAAAUUCAUUUAUUAGAUUUAAGUUUGUGUCAACUAAAUUGAGACGAUGUAUUUGGUUUACAGUUCGAUGUAGAAGAAAUACCGACAUAGCUAAUUAAUACAAUUAAUUAUCUAAUUACUACCACUAUUUCAUAUAAAUAAGUAUUGUAUUUUGCAUUGUUGUUAAUACAUAUUAUAUCAGUAUUACAAACCUAAUCUAUAACUCUAUCCUAUUUGGGGGGGGGGAUAUUAGGGAUUUUCUUCUCCCAUGCAAUUAACCUUGGUCGUAUUUAGCACAACAGUUUGAAAAUUUUGGUCCUCAAUACUCUUUAACUUUGUACUAGUUUUGGCUUUCGAAAUUUUUUAUCUGAGCGUCACUGAUGAGUCUUAUGUAUACGAAACGCGCGUCUGGCGUUUAGAUUAUAAGCCUGGUACCUUUCGAUAGCUAUUAUUUGUGCGUUAAUCUUGUUCUGCACGUUCUCCCAUUUAUUUGUAUUGACGUCCUGUCAUGUAGUGUUGUCAUUUUAAGGAUAUAUUUUAUAUUGCCAUUAAAGCAGAAGGUUUGGCUAGCCACAAAACUAGGUUCAAACCCCCAUUGUUCUUAAAAUGUCCUGUACCAAGUCAGGAAAAUGGCCAUUGUUAUAUAUGAAUUCAUGAAUGCAAAACUUUUUAUAAUUUUUUUUUUAAAUGCCAGAUUAAGCAAUGCGUGUAUAGGAUUUUGGAAAUCGUAUUGAUUAACAUAACAUAGUAUAUAGAUUGAUAUUAUUAUGACCUAUAAUGGUUUACUUUUAAAAAAUUGUGACUUGGAUCGAGAGGUGAGUCAUUAGCACUUACACAAAAUUUUCUUAUAUCUAUUAAUUGAAAAUGACGUUUUAAUCUAUGAUAGCGUUGGAUAAAAACCUCAUUUUUAUACGUGUAAAAGUAGUUUAUUGAUUCAGCGAACUUAGAUAUAAUGAUUUAGGCCAAUUUUUGUUUAAUUUUGCCCAGUCGUUAAAUUCAUUUUUUGAAGAAACAUGUUUUUCUAAAAAAAAUCUAAUGUUCUAUUAUGGAAUUUUGAAGACCUUUUAUCAAUUGAUAAUUUUAAAGACGCCAAAAAUCACGAUGGUCAAAUUUAGUGGAAUUUAAAUAUAAACUUUAGAUUGUGAAAAAUGUAAGCUAUUAUAUGACAACCCCAACGUAGAUGUUCUAUAGCUUCUGGAUCUUACUUGCAAAAUGUAUACAAGUUACAGUUUUAAAAUAACUUAAAAAGGUUCGUUUCAAAGAGUAGAGCAUUUGUAUCCAAUAUAAAAUUGAGAAUGGAAAUGGGGAAUGUGUUAAAGAGACAACAACCCGACCAUUGAAAAAAACAACAGCAGAAGGUCACCAACAGGUCUUCAAUGUAGCGAGAAAUUCCCGCACCCGAAGGCGUCCUUCAGCUGGCCCCUUAACAAAUAUAUACUAGUUCAGUGAUAAUGAACGCCAUACUAAUUUCUAAAAUUGUACACAAGAAACUAAAAUUAAAAUAAUACAGACUAACAAAGGCCAGAGGCUCCUGACUUGGGACAGGCGCAAAAAUGCGGCGGCUUUAAACAUGUUUGUGAGAUCUGAACCAUUCCCUAUACCUCUAGCCAAUGUAGAAAAGUAAAAUGAAUAAUUUCAUAUUGAAACUAUCAUAACAUUGUGUUUUAUAAUCAAUGGUAACAUAAAAGUUUGUUUUUUUCAAAUUUCUUCAACUUUACAACAACAGCACACACGACACAACAUAGAAAACGAAAGAAUAAACAACACGAACCCCAUGUUAUACAUUUUUUGCAUGAUUGAAUUUCACAAAAUAUUUUAUACCCCAUGUGUACUUCUGGUCCUUAUAAGACUCAUCGAUGACAUUCGACUUUUAAAACACAUUAAAGCCCAUCUAUAAUUUUUGGGAUCAAAAAUCCCGAAAGGUUUUACUCAAUAUUGCCGAGGUGUUCUGACUUUUGCGGUUGAAAAUUCUUAGUUUUUCUAGAAAAAUAAAUGCAAUUAUACCCCAUCUGCUAUUUUUUUUUUAAUUUUCCGUUUGUAAAUUUCGAAAUUAUAAGAUACUAAGAUUUAACUCUCUCAGGCAAAGUUAAUGGAUGUGGCUAUGUUUAUGUACUUUUAGGUUUUAUAACUCUUGAUCUGUUUAGAUUUAUGUACAUCCCUGGCUUUCAAAUACUAGUAUUCUUUUCAUAUUUAUCUAUUCUUGUUAUUGUUCCUCACGCCAUUUUUUGUAAUUAACAAACUUUUAGCAACUGUCAUACAAGUUUUAAGCUAGAUGUAAAACCAGCUUUAUAUAAAAAAAAUAAAAAGAUGUGGUAUGAUCGCAAGUGAGACAACAAUGCACAAAAGACCAAAAUGACACAGAAAUUAACAGCUAUAGGUCAACGUAUAGCCUUCAACAAUGAGCAAAGCCCAUACCGCAUAGUGAGCAUCACUUUCUUUGGGAAAUGGUUGAACCAAGUCAGGAAUAUGAUAGUUGUUUUUCACUUGUUCCGUUAAUUUAUAUUGAAUUUGUUAGUUUUUAUUGAUCUCCCCUUGUUAAGUUUUCAUGGAGCUCAGCAUUUUUUUUAUACUCCUUUCGGUGUUUCUUUUUUACAGGCCAACUAUGGCUUAUUUCGUCUUGUACGUGUAUAUCAUAUAUAUAUAAUGAGGGUACUUUUUAUAUGGCCUUCCAAAUACCGUUUCGAUCCCUAACAUCACUGAGGAGACAUUUAUUGUCGAAAUCCGGAUCUGGUGUACUAAAAAAUAUUGACACCGUAUGUUUGUGGCAUAACAUCGUGGCCACAAGUUAAAUUUUUUCUGUUUAGUAUUAAAUUUAUAUUAAGAUCCAUCUUGUUACAUCUUGUGAUCAAUUUUAUUUGGCAAUCGCCAAUGGCAGUCAGCAGGGUUAAAGAACAUCAGUUGUUCGACCUGUUAGUCAAAUGCGUUUUGUUUAAACAUACUUUUUCACUUUUUUUGGUCUUUUGGAAAAUGUUAUUCGUGCUGUUUUUAGACCCUUCUACAAAGAAAAUUGUUUAACAUUCACACGUAUAAAAAUUGCGGUUUUUAUCCAACGCAAUCAUAGGUUUGAACGUAGUUUUCAAUUUAGACUCGUUUAUAUUUUUUCGUUUGGGCUUGUAUCAUAUUUUCUCUCUGGUUUAUAUGAUCUAUUUACCUAUAUUGACUUUUUAAAUUCAACAGUCUAUCUAAAAAUGAGGGUACUUUUCUAAAAAUGAGGGUACUUUUUAUAUGGUAUUCCAAAUACCGUUUCGAUCCCUAACAUCACUGAAGAGACAUUUAUUGUCGAAAUCCGGAUCUAAUGUACUAAAAAAAAUGACACCGUAUGUUUGUGGCAUCACAUCCUGGCCACAAGUUAAAUUUUUAUUCUGUUUAGUAUUAAAUUUAUAUUAAGAUCCAUUUUGUUACAUCUUGUGAUCAAUUUUAUUUGGCAAUCGCUAAUGGCAGUCAUCAGGGUUAAAGAACAUCAGUUGUUCGACCUGUUAGUCAAAUGCGUUUUGUUUAAAUAUACUUUUUCACUUUUUUGGUCUUUUGGAAAAUGUUGUUAGUGCUGUUUUUAGACCCUUCUACAACGAAAUUUGUUUUACAUGCACACGUAUAAAAAUUGCGGUUUUUAUCCAACGCAAUCAUAAGUUUGAACGUAGUUUUCAAUUUAGACUCGUUUAUAUUUUUUCGUUUGGGCUUGUAUCAUCUUUCCUUUCGGUUUAUAUGAUCCGUUCACCUAUAUUGACUCUUAAAAAUGAGGGUACUUUUCUAAAAAUGAGGGUACUUUUUAUAUGGUAUUCCAAAUACCGUGUCGGUCCCUAACAUCACUGAGGAGACAUUUAUUGUCGAAAUCCGGAUCUGGUGUACUAAAAAAAUAUUGACACUGUAUGUAUGUGGCAUAACAUCGUGGCCACAAGUUAAAUUUUUUUCUGUUUAGUAUUUAAUUUAUAUUAAGAUCCAUUUUGUUACAUCUUGUGAUCAAUUUUAUUUUGCAAUCGCCAAUGGCAGUCAGCAGGGUUAAAGAACAUCAGUUGUUCGACCUGUUAGUCAAAUGCGUUUUGUUUAAACAUACUUUUUCACUUUUUUGGGUCUUUUUGAAAAUGUUAUUUGUGCUAUUUUUAGACCCUUCUACAAAGAAAUUUGUUUAACAUGCACACGUAUGAAAAUUGCGGUUUUUAUCCAACGCAAUCAUAGGUUUGAACGUUGUUUUCUAUUUCACGGCCGACACUCGGCUAACCGAGAGAUUGGUCGGUUAAUCUAUAUUGAGUAUGCGGCUAUAUGGGCGAUUGGUCUGUUAAUCGGGUUGGUUAUACGUCUGUCAAGAGUAAAACGCUUAAUUUAAUGUUUAACUCUAUUAAAUAUACAGAUGUUUUGCAUGUUAUAAGAACCAAAUCAAAAAAAAAAGUGUCUGACAAAAUGAAUUCUAUCAUAGAACAUUUUGCACUUGUAAAAACAUUUCUUAGUCUGCGCAGUUUUCAGUAAAACUAAAACGCGUCGCGCAGGUAUGUAGAAUUUAUGCUUAUACGCAUAGCAAUUUUUUUAAUAAAAGGCUAAACAAACAAAUUUAGAUAUCAUUUAAAGGACAAAAAAUAGUACUGUGGUUCUAAAAAAAAAAUUGACAUUAGUAAAUAUUUCAUAAUUGUAAAAUAACGUGAAUAAUACCACGUUUUAGUGAAAAUUAUGGGAAUAAAGUCUGUUAAUUGGUUGGACAAUUGAAAUUGUGUCAGUUAAGAGUUAUUUAGCCUCGACAAUAAUUUUGCUACCUUUAUAUCUUCCCCUUGAAUAAUUUAAGAAUGAGAUGUUCCUGAAUAAACAAAAAUGACAAUACGGUGCCACAGUAUCCAAGAAAGAGCAUUUUAAUUUUAACUUUCUUUGCAUUUUAUUGAAGGAUGUGUCACUUCAAUAUAGCGAGAUAUGGAUUGGCCUCUGGAAUAUGCAUGAAUUUUUUAUUGACGUUUUCAAUCAGCCUUAUUUUUUGUGUCUGUUCGAAGUAGCACGUUCUCAAUUCCAAAAGUGUCUUUCUAAUACAACACAGGGUACAUAUAACGUGUUCUCGUUCACAUGUGACAUGAUAUUUGUCACUGGACGUUAAACCCUAAUUCGUCAGCAUCAUCCAAUUGGUUCUUUUCUUCUAUUACUAUAUCAUAUGUUGUUUACAAAUGCAGCUACAUUUGGUUAUCUUAAGUUUCAAUUCAUUUUAUUCCGUUUAGUACCUUACUACAUAAGUGCAGAGGAGAACUACAGUUGUCUAUGGUGGCCGGUGAAGUCCAUUUCGCUUUUUCGCGAUUUUGCCUUUCAUAUUCUUUAUGGCGAAAACGCGAAAUCGUGAAAAGGCGAAAUCGAGAAGUUAAAAACGCGAAAACGCGAAGUCGAAAACGAGAAAUCGGUUUUGCGUUUUCACGUUUUCAACUUCGCAAUUUCGCGUUUUCGCCCUAUAGAAUAUGUAAGGCGAAAACGUUAAAGCGCUAUUUAAAACGCAAAAUGGCAUUAAUCUGCCACCAUAGUUGUCUGCAUGUAAACUUCUAGAAUUUGUCACCAAUAUAAGUACAUCGCAAUCAUAGGUUUGAACGUAGUUUUCAAUUUAGACUCGUAUAUAUAUGUUUGUGUAUUUCAUAUCUGACGUUCAUAUUAGUUGGUAAUUUAUAUAUCAUCUAUACCUCUAUUAUCUUCAGAUUUCAUGACAAAUAAGGCAGAAAGUUUGCAUAUUUUAUUUGUUCAGAGAAUUGACAAUAUUUUAAUUUUUCCUUACAAUGAUCAAAUGUGUUGAUAAAAUUUGCGAUUCCUUUGAAAAUAGUUUUCCUCGUCACUAGAUAGUUCGACAAAAUAUAUCAACAAAAGUGAUGGAAAUACCAAAAAUGGCUUAAUCUGAUGCGCUUACAUUUCUUUUAUGUAAAACGUACCCAUUUUCACGAUGUUCGUAUUAAUGGUACGAACUUUUUAUUAAUCUAUGAUUUAUUGAAAUUCCAGAUGAUUUUGACAUUUUAAUGUUAAAUACCAUAAAGGAUAAUUUCAUGCAUUACAUGUAUUAUUUUAUGUCAGAUGUGUUGAAAGCUUUUCUUCUAUUGGUUAAUAGUUAGGGGCACAGAGUAAAUUUUAUAUUUCAAACAUUUAGACACAUGCGACGCCUAUUUGUUACGUUGUAUCUAAUAAAAUGAUCUUAAUGGUCAUAUUCCUAGUUGAAGCGGAUUUAUGAGACAACACAUGUAUAAUACUUAAUUAAGUAAAUAUAAAACAACCAGAUGUACAACACAGAUAUCUUACAUCACACGUUCUUAUAUUUGCCAAGUAGAAAUAUUCAAGACAGAAAUCAAUGAUUUUAUUUAAGGAAUGACUGUAAUAUUUUUUCUGUCUAUGAAGAAAUAACAUAAAAAAAUUGAUGCACACUGAAUAACGCGCGUAGCGGGUUAUUUAACAGUGUGCACCACAUUUUUUAUGUUAUUUCUAAUAGACAGAAAAAUAUUACAGUCAUUUCUUAUAAUUUAAUUCUAAAUUCCAUUUUAAACCGUAGAAAACCUUGAAAAAACGUUGAUGGCGUCACGGUCACAUGACUAAAUUAUGUCUGUGGUCUGUAACAAAAUAACGUCGGCCUAUCAGAAGACGUGUUACAUCCAAAAUUAAAUUAUAACAAAGUAACUUAUGGUAUAUAACAAAUCACGUUGAUUGAUAACGUUUGAUUUUGUAAGUUUGUAUAGACUUCCCCUUUUUUAUUCCAUCGUUUCUUCGAUUGAUAUUUGCACAUCCAAUUUUACGAAUAAUCGUAAAUUUAAGAAAAAAAUUAGUUAAUUCAUAUAACACUCCAUAACAAUAUGCUGUUAUAUUUCAGUAACCAUGAGUAUAUCACAUCAUAGUGGAAAUUGUCCAAAUUGCAGACAAAAUAUCAAUGAAAGUCAACGGUUUUGCGAACACUGUGGAUAUAAAAUUGAAGCGAGUAGAUCGACAAUAAUUUGCCUGGGAAAAAUGGAGGAUGGCAAUCAAUGUAACGGAUUGCUGAGAAACGAUGCAAGAUUUUGCCCAAACUGUGGGACGCGAAGCCAUAUUUUAG